AUAGGGAUUGUGAUUCGACUCUACAAUUGUCUUGUAAUUUGCCAUCUAACAUAGAAGCAUUGAAUGUUGUACUACAUAUACCUGUGUCAUCUACUACUAGAAAGUAGGGAAGAGUUAUGACGUUAUUUGAACUGUAUUAUGAGUGUUGUAUAUUUUGUGGAUAUCUUUCUGCUUAGAAGGACAACAAAUAGGAAACAGCCUGACAAAGUUUGAUAUGUUUUGCUAAUUGCAACUUCGGCUACUAGCCUCAACUAUCUGAUGUUUUAUCGAGUUGAUAUUGAUGAUUCUUUAAAAUUUCUAUAUGAGCAGUUGGAUAGCAAGGUCUCUGUUGUACGUAGAGAAGGCGAUGAGCUGUUUUUGAAAGAAAAAGUGCCACCUCUUUCACUAGAACUUGUGAACAAUUUAUCCCUUGACUCAUUAAUAUACAGUCUUGUGUGUAUUCGAGAUGAGCUUAUGGUUACCACUCUAGAUGGUCAUUUUUGGCGGGUAAGAUGGGAUGCCAAAUUAGAUGAGGAUUACACUCUAAUUUUAUGCAAUAUCUCAUUUCGCUUAGAUCAGCUGCAAUCUAGAGGAUCCAAAUUUCAUGAUGCACAAAUCCAUAUAAAAAAUAUGGAAUAUUCUCCCAUCAUGGGAGGGUUUUGAGUUGUACUAUCAAAUGGUCAAGCCUGUUUUAUUACUGCUACUACAUUGAAGUUUGAGCCUCAUCAAGUUUUUGGAAUCUUUGCUAAUGAUGUUCAGAAUGCUACUUGUACAGCUGUGAAUCAUAGGUUUCGAGUCAUUGCUUAUGGGCAAACAAAUGCUUAAGGAAUCAUUUUCUGCAUUGACGAUUUAACAGGUGCUCUACAAUCCACACAUCAAUUAGUAUUAUCCAGUAAAGACUUUCCUGAUGUCAAAACAGCUGCAGGAGCCGUAUUAAAUUUGAAAUGGACAACUGAUGGAGGAGCUCUUGCUAUGACAUGGGAAAAAGGUCUGCUGAUGUGAUGAAAAAUUUUUCCCUUCUAAUAUCUAUGGGAAUAAUUCAAAAGUGCAAACUGCAUGAAAUGAUACUCAUGAAAAGCUUCUUACCAGUGAGUCAUAAAAUAAUUGUGAAUUCAGACGUAAUCAAAGGU